rnacentral:rRNA from 1 species
UACGAAGGGGGCGAGCGUUGUUCGGAAUUACUGGGCGUAAAGGGCGCGUAGGCGGCCCCUUUUGUCGCGUGUGAAAGCCCCGGGCUCAACCUGGGAGGUGCGCGCGAAACGGGGGGGCUUGAGUUCGGGAGAGGAGCGUGGAAUUCCCAGUGUAGAGGUGAAAUUCGUAGAUAUUGGGAAGAACACCGGUGGCGAAGGCGGCGCGCUGGACCGAGACUGACGCUGAGGCGCGAAAGCGUGGGGAGCAAACAGG